rnacentral:rRNA from 1 species
AAGCGGCAACAGCUCAAAUUUUUAAAUCUGGCCUUCGCGGUCCGAGUUGUAAUUUGUAGAGGAUGCUUUUGGCGAGGUGCCUUUUAAGUACCCUGGAACGGGACGCCAUAGAGGGUGAGAGCCCCGUCUGGUCGGACACCGAGCCUCUGUAAAGCUCCUUCGACGAGUCGAGUAGUUUGGGAAUGCUGCUCAAAAUGGGAGGUAUAUGUCUUCUAAAGCUAAAUAUUGGCCAGAGACCGAUAGCGCACAAGUAGAGUGAUCGAAAGAUGAAAAGCACUUUGAAAAGAGGGUUAAAAAGUACGUGAAAUUGUUGAAAGGGAAGCGCCUAUGACCAGACUUGAGCCCGGUGAAUCAUCCAGCGUUCUCGCUGGUGCACUUUGCCGGGCCCAGGCCAGCAUCAGUUUGGCGCGGGGGAUAAAGGUGACGGGAAUGUGGCUCCCUCGGGAGUGUUAUAGCCCGCUACGUAAUACCUGCGCCGGACUGAGGUACGCGCAUUGCAAGGAUGCUGGCGUAAUGGUCAUCAGC